AUACAAUCACCGAAGUUAAGCCACAUUGAUCCUGAUCAGUACCUAGAUGGGUGACCACUUGGGAAUACCAGGUGCUGUAAG